rnacentral:lncRNA from 1 species
CAUCUCUCUCAUUCCAACUUCUCUGUCAUCCUUACUGUUGCCCCAAUUGAAAAAAAAAUUCAGAAACCCUUUGUCAUCAAAGAUAUUUUCUCUCUCAUCUCAACAUUUUCUCUGUCAUCAUUCCAACAUUUUUUCUCUUAUCUCAACCCAAUUGAAGAUGGUGGUAGCAUUUGAAUCAGAGAUAUUUUUUAAAAAUUGAAAAANN